rnacentral:rRNA from 1 species
AACACAGGUCCGUGCGAAGCCGUAAGGCGAUGUAUACGGACUGACGCCUGCCCGGUGCUGGAACGUUAAGGGGACCGGUUAGCUCCAUUUCGGUGGGGCGAAGCUGAGAACUUAAGCGCCAGUAAACGGCGGUGGUAACUAUAACCAUCCUAAGGUAGCGAAAUUCCUUGUCGGGUAAGUUCCGACCUGCACGAAUGGCGUAACGACUUCUCGACUGUCUCAACCAUAGGCCCGGUGAAAUUGCACUACGAGUAAAGAUGCUCGUUUCGCGCAGCAGGACGGAAAGACCCCGGGACCUUUACUAUAGCUUGAUAUUGGUGUUCGGUUCGGCUUGUGUAGGAUAGGUGGGAGACUGUGAACUCGUCACGCCAGUGGCGGGGGAGUCGUUGUUGAAAUACCACUCUGGUCGUGCUGGAUGUCUAACCUGGGUCCGUGAUCCGGAUCAGGGACAGUGUCUGGUGGGUAGUUUAACUGGGGCGGUUGCCUCCUAAAGAGUAACGGAGGCGCCCAAAGGUUCCCUCAGCCUGGUUGGCAAUCAGGUGUUGAGUGUAAGUGCACAAGGGAGCUUGACUGUGAGACUGACGGGUCGAGCAGGUACGAAAGUAGGGACUAGUGAUCCGGCGGUGGCUUGUGGAAGCGCCGUCGCUCAACGGAUAAAAGGUACCCCGGGGAUAACAGGCUGAUCUUCCCCAAGAGUCCAUAUCGACGGGAUGGUUUGGCACCUCGAUGUCGGCUCGUCGCAUCCUGGGGCUGGAGUCGGUCCCAAGGGUUGGGCUGUUCGCCCAUUAAAGCGGUACGCGAGCUGGGUUUAGAACGUCGUGAGACAGUUCGGUCCCUAUCCGCUGUGCGCGUAGGAGUCUUGAGAAGGGCUGUCCCUAGUACGAGAGGACCGGGACGGACGAACCUCUGGUGUGCCAGUUGUCCUGCCAAGGGCAUGGCUGGUUGGCUACGUUCGGAAAGGAUAACCGCUGAAAGCAUCUAAGCGGGAAGCCUGCUUCGAGAUGAGGGCUCCCUCCUCCUUGAGAGGGUAAGGCUCCCAGUAGACGACUGGGUUGAUAGGCCAGAUAUGGAAGCCUGGUAACGGGUGGAGUUGACUGGUACUAAUAGGCCGAGGGCUUGUCCUC